UUUGUAAUAAAAUCGUCUUAAAGUGAGUUAAGAUUUGGUUCGUACAAAGUUACCCAAAAGUCUCGACUUUUAUUACUGUUUCGAUUCCCGGUGGAGUGUAAUCGGAGAUGAAGGCGGCGAAGAAGCCAAUCCACGCCGUGACGACAUGGGUUCGCCGGCAACCACCGAAAGUCAAAGCCUUUCUCGGUGUUGUUUCCGCCAUGGCUGCUCUCGUUCUCUUAAGAAUGAUUGUUCACGACCACGACAACUUCUUCGUCGCCGCCGAGGCUGUCCACGCCCUUGGAAUCUCCGUUCUCAUCUACAAACUCACCAAGGAGAAGACUUGCGCUGGAUUGUCUCUCAAGACACAAGAGUUAACGGCUCUGUUUCUGGCUGUGAGACUGUACUGUAGCUUUGUGAUGGAGUUUGAUAUUCACACGUUGCUUGAUUCGGCUACGUUGGUGACUACCCUUUGGGUUAUCUACAUGAUCCGUUUCAAGCUCAAAGCCACUUACAUGGAAGACAAAGACAAUUUUCCUAUUUACUACGUUGUUAUACCGUGUGCUGUUCUGUCAGUCCUGUUUCACCCAUCAACACAUCACCAUAUAAUCAACAAAGUCUCAUGGGCCUUCUGCGUUUACCUUGAAUCUGUUUCAGUUCUUCCUCAGCUUAGAGUCAUGCAAAACACUAAGAUCGUGGAGCCGUUUACAGCACAUUACGUAUUUGCAUUGGGGAUAGCCAGGUUCUUGAGUUGUGCGCACUGGGUCCUUCAGGUUUUGGACACUCGUGGGAGGUUACUGACUGCUUUAGGAUAUGGGCUUUGGCCUAUAAUGGUCCUGCUCUCUGAAGUCAUACAAACUUUUAUUCUCGCUGACUUCUGCUACUACUAUGUCAAGAGUUUAAUGGGUGGCCAGCUGGUUCUUCGUCUCCCAUCAGGUGUUGUGUAAAUUGUGUUGAAGAGAAGAGAGAAAGAAGAUACAGUUUGGCAUCAAGCUUUUUAUUAUGCUGGAAACUCUGUAAUCAUAUCACCUAAUAUUCCACCAAUUCCUUGAUGUAUUAUACCGAAUAUGUUCGGAUAACUCAGGUACAUAUUUAAGAUUUUAUCCGAAAGUGGGAGAUUCUUUUCGCAAUAUAUUAUUUGUGGAGUGAACAUGUAUUCUAUGUAAAGUAAUAUUUUGAAGUCGAGGUGCUCUUAUAAACAAAUGUAACAUUUGACCUCAUAUAAAUAGAAUCGGCCCUGAAUGUUUAGGGUUUCAAAGCAUACAAUUCAUUUCUGACCCAGUAAUUAACAAACUAUGAAAAUAUUUAUAAACUUUUACAUAUACUACGUCCUCUUAACUGAAUUAGUAUCAUUAGAAAAUUGGGAACUUUUACAUAUUUGCGGCUCCAAACACAUGUUUGAUCAAUAUCUAUUCGGUUCUGCAUAUAACCGAAAUAUCAAUUACCUAUCAAUUUACAUGUAUAUGUUUAAGUAUUACUAUUCACACAAAUUGAGAAUAAUGACAAAUACAAGGACGAGGUUAAAACUGAUUUUUAGCUUCAUAUCUCCUCAACUUCUUUUUAAAGAAAAGAAAGCCAAUUGAAAAUAUAAACACAAACCACAUAUAGGUCCAUAGAAUCUAUUAUAAAUAGAUUGGGAUGGGAACAAAAGAAAGUAAAAGAGAUAACCAGGUUGGCGAUUAGCUACACAACAGCUGUUAAGUGAACAACAACACUUCACAGCUGGCUAAAGAACUCACUACUCCUGAUCACUUUUUCUCUUAAUUGCGUUUUUUUCCUUUGUUUAGAAUAAAAAGUGUCGUAAUUCACGAGGAAGAUAUCUUGAAAACACUCCGUAAAGCAUAGCAAAUUUUUCGAUAGCAGGCUUUAACCUAGCUCUAAGUUAAUGGCGAUCAAGAUCUACAAUUUAGGAAACUACGUUCACAUUUCAUCGUCUCUUAUAUUAUUAUCGAUAAAACCAAAAAACGUCUAAUAGUUACGAGUUAGGACAGUACUCUAAGUUGGGUGCAAGUUUUGAUUUGACUUAACAUAGAGUUUAGUGAAAUGACGACUACCGAACGUGUGAUAUUAUGUGUCAGACGACAUGAUAGUUGAAGUGACAUUCCCAUGCAUAGAAAUCUAUGUUUCCUCAAUUAUUAAUAUUAAAUUAAAAGAUUAUGGUAUACUAUAGACUUUCUGUAGUGUGCGUGCGGGAUGGUGGUCGAGUCGAUAAGGUUGGUGAAAAGGCCAAACACAGAAGACAGACAAUCCGUGACAUCUCACUUUCUCUUCCUUUCCAGUGUCCGUCCUCCUGUAAUUUCGAAACUCUCAGGUCAAGCCAACCGUUGCAAGCAAGCUGAUAAAAAACUUUUGGUUCACAAAAAGCUUACCUACCAUCGACUGCUUGAAGGCAUCGUCAGGUUAAACACACCGUUUCUUGAUAAAAUUAGUUGCCUAAUUAAUGGCUUUACUUUAUCUUUUGAGUUUCUUGCAGCAGAAACGUGUUUAUUUUGGUUCGCCAAUAAAGCAUAUCCAAUAUCCAAACAUAAAACGUCAAAAAACUAAAACAGUGUAUACGAAUAACUUUUAUACAAACUAUAUCAAUAAUACCAGAAGAACAGCGAAGAGUGGACCAUAAAAAUACAAAUACUAGUGUUAAAACAAAUCGUAAAGAUUGAUCCAGAAACCGAUUUAAAACAAAAUGAAUUAUGGAGAAGAAGAGUGGGUCAUAAGACUCAAUAACACAGAAGAAGAGUGCAAGCUGUGAAAUGAAGUAUUCUCAAAAGGACCUCUCACGUCAACAUCUCCUCAUCCUUCUUGUCUCAGCCACAUCAACUCUUCUGAAGUCCCUUUUCGUCACGAAUUACUCACAAUUUCACCAUGUCCUCAAAUUUUAUUUUCUUCCUUUUUUCUUAAUUUUCUCAAAUAAUUUUAUCUAUUUCGGAGAAGGGUGAUCAACUCAUCAACACAAAAGAAAACGUUAAAAUCUGACACUUGACAUCACCUAUCCAAAACCAAAACACUUUUAAAAUGAUUGUGUUAAUCUUUCAAUUUGUUUGCUAUAACCUACCAAACACAAUUUUGAUUUUAAACAUACAUGUUUAAUAAGUUAUUUAAUAGAAUUGCCUAUCAUCGAAGAUAUUAAAAAUUUUAGAUUUAGUAAGGGUUGAAGGAUCGGAAAUUCAGUUUUCGUUGGGGAAAAAUCUGUUUUUUCUAUAAAAGUUAAUUUAACAUAGUUUAAAUCUUUUUUUUUAGAAAACAUAGUUUAAAUCUUAAUCUAGAAAGAUAUACAAAUUUUCGGACCCAACAUUUUAGUCAUUAAAAAUUAAACAAUAAUAAUAGAAUUGCCCAUAGGUUUUUUUCACGAGAUCACAUGCAUGUUAUAUAGAAAGAGCAGAGAUAUUUCAAAACCGAAACGAGUGGCCCGUUUAUACGUUAAAAUUUCAUGAAACAAGCUCACUAUAAAUAUCAAACAUCAAAUUAUUAUAUUUCUUCAAAUCCCAAAUUAUUGUAUUUAUCAUAUAUUACUGAAACCAAUAUUUCUGGUAGAACCAAAACGCGCCAAACCCAAACGAAUCCAAUAAUAGAGUUUACUGUUUAGCAGUUUAGCUGUACGUAACUGAUAGAAGUCUAUAAACUUAUACUCUAGUAAUAACUAAAGCAAGAUUCAGAAACCAAUUUUUUUUUCAAAUAAACUGUAAAUUAAAUAUGGUGGAGAAAGGUAUACCGAAUAAUCUGAUGAAAUUAUAAACAAGAGACCACAAAUAAUACCCACCAUAAUAUUCUCUUCUACGCGUACGCAUAACUUUUAUACGCACCAACCGACCCAUUUCGAAAAGGAAAAAAGUAUCUUAUAUAUACACACCUAAACAUCAAUAUGUUAAACUAUUUCUCAUCUCUCAAUUAACUAUUUAUAGUAAAAAUAUACAGUUUUUGAAAUAAAAUAAUUGGUACAAAAUUACAAAUUCAUGACCUUCACAAUUAAAUUUAAAAAAUGCCUUUAAUUUGUUUAAUUUUGCUCAUGAUCAUCAGUAACUGUUGCAAAGUGCUACUUGGCUACUUCCUAUCAUAUCAUAUUCGAAUUCUGAAACUCGGAAAGCCAAUAUUUUAUUUUCCCUAAUGAAAUAAUUAAAACAAAAGAAUAGUCCAGACCAUAAUAUGGGGUCGGAUAUCCAUCGAAAUGAGGGCUAUAAAUAGAAGCCUCCAAGUUUUCAUUUAUACACAACAAAACUCAAAACACACAUAUUAUCUCCACUGAGUUCUCUCGUAUAAUAAUCAUCUCCUUCGAGAAAUAUGGCGAUUUCAAAAGCCCUUAUUGCUUCUCUUCUCAUAUCUCUUCUUGUUCUCCAACUCGUCCAGGCCGAUGUGG